AACAGCAGACAGAGGUCUCAUUUAUCCUCCUCUCACUGUGUCCUUUUCUAUUUUUUCUCUCCAUCCCUCCUUCACUCCUCUUUUGUUUUCACAGCAGUGAAGAAACGGUUGCCUUUUUCCCCCCUUUCUCCUCCUUUUAUUUUCUCCCCUUCUUUUCAUGGUGGUGGCAGGCGCACUUUGGCCAUCCCAGGUACUGGCUGGAAACAGUGAGGAUUCUGGGAGAUGGUGAGAUGAGGCUUUAAUGAGAAUGAGGCCUUCCCAGCUGGAGAGAAAAAUAUAUGCAAAUGAGAUGUGUGAGCCAAGAGGACACCGGGAUGAAGAACGUGUGGCAAACAGCAAGGGGCGAACUCCAGCUGACUACGGUCGCCUCCAAGGAGAGGAAGACGAUCUGACGAAUGGGAAUGACAGGGAGGGGAGGGGACACACAGGGCCCCGCCUGCCGUCUGUCCUAGCAGUCCUGAUGACUUCUCCCUUGAUAAUCAGCUGCUAUGGGCCAGGGAUAAUUCACCUGUCAAUGCCACCUACUGAGGCUGGAACAAGGAUUGAA